AGAGUUUGAUCAUGGCUCAGGACGAACGCUGGCGGCGUGCCUAAUACAUGCAAGUCGUACGAAUUGAUUAAGGAGCUUGCUCCUUAUGACGUUAGUGGCGAACGGGUGAGUAACACGUGGGUAACCUACCUUCAAGAGGGGGAUAACAUCCGGAAACGGGUGCUAAUACCGCAUAGUUUCAGCUUCCACAUGGAAGCCGAAGGAAAGACGGCCUUUGUGCUGUCACUUGGAGAUGGACCCGCGGCGCAUUAGUUAGUUGGUAGGGUAACGGCCUACCAAGACGAUGAUGCGUAGCCGACCUGAGAGGGUGAUCGGCCACAUUGGGACUGAGACACGGCCCAAACUCCUACGGGAGGCAGCAGUAGGGAAUCUUCCGCAAUGGACGAAAGUCUGACGGAGCAACGCCGCGUGAGUGAAGAAGGUUUUCGGAUCGUAAAACUCUGUUGUUGGAGAAGAACAAGUAAGAGAGUAACUGCUCUUACCUUGACGGUACCCAACCAGAAAGCCACGGCUAACUACGUGCCAGCAGCCGCGGUAAUACGUAGGUGGCAAGCGUUGUCCGGAUUUAUUGGGCGUAAAGCGAGCGCAGGCGGUUCCUUAAGUCUGAUGUGAAAGCCCACGGCUCAACCGUGGAAGGUCAUUGGAAACUGGGGAACUUGAAUGCAGAAGAGGAGAGUGGAAUUCCAUGUGUAGCGGUGAAAUGCGUAGAUAUAUGGAGGGACACCAGUGGCGAAGGCGACUCUCUGGUCUGUAAUUGACGCUGAGGCUCGAAAGCGUGGGGAGCAAACAGGAUUAGAUACCCUGGUAGUCC
rnacentral:rRNA from 1 species